UGUUUGUAAAGCCAUUAGGAUUUAAAGUGUGCCAGACUGAGGUCAGAGACUGAGGUAAAAGACUGAGGUCGGAGAAUGAGGACACAGACUGAGGUCGGAGAAUGAGGACAGAGACUGAGGUUGAAGAAUGAGGUUGAAGAAUGAGGUUGAAGAAUGAGGUAAGAGACUGAG